ACAGAAGCAAGCAGAUAUUGAAUGAAAACUUCCCAGCAACAUCCAACAGUCUAAAACAUCACAUUGAGCGAGUAGACUACGGAGUACAUGUUUGGAAACAGCCUCUUGGCAUCGAAUUAUA